GACGAACGCUGGCGGCGUGCCUAAUACAUGCAAGUCAAGCGGAUCUUGUCCUUCGGGACAAGGUUAGCGGCGGACGGGUGAGUAACACGUAGGCAACCUGCCCGCAAGCCCGGGAUAACUACCGGAAACGGUAGCUAAGACCGGAUACACAGCCGAGGGGCAUCCCUUGGCUGGGAAAGGCGGAGUAAUCUGUCGCUUGCGGAUGGGCCUGCGGCGCAUUAGCUGGUUGGUGAGGUAACGGCUCACCAAGGCGACGAUGCGUAGCCGACCUGGGAGGGUGAACGGCCACACUGGGACUGGGACACCGCCCAGACUCCUACGGGGGGCAGCAGUAGGGAAUCUUCGGCAAUGGACGAAAGUCUGACCGAGCAACGCCGCGUGAGUGAGGAAGGGUUUCGGCUCGUAAAACUCUGUUGCCAGGGAAGAACGCCAUCAGGAGUAACUGCCUGGUGGGUGACGGUACCUGAGAAGAAAGCCCCGGCUAACCACGUGCCAGCAGCCGCGGUAAAAC
rnacentral:rRNA from 1 species